CCCGUGCUUCCGGAUCCGGGGGAGGGCGCCCCCUCCCCACGACUCCAGAAAUGCAGGACCUCCUUUCCCUCCUCGCCGUGCUCCGGCGCCGCCGCCGGGGGUGGAGAGAGACGGGGAGCCAGGACUUUCGGCUGCCUCGCUGGUAAGGCCUCCUCCUCCGCAAAGGUGGCUUGGCAGUUGGCCCCGUACCGUAGCCGACCGCUGAUUGGAUCUGCCCUUGCACGGCUCCCUCCGCCGGCCGGCCGUCUCAUUCCGUUCGAUUUGCUUAUCGCGCUGACCGUGACCGGUGGCCGCCGGAGGCCAGGCUCAUCUGCGCCUCCUACCACUGCAACGUCCGCAAAAUCAACAAGAUUGCAGAGGAGCUGGACGUGCAGGGGCACGGGAUCCCGGUGACGGUGGCCACCUACAUGGGCAUGAACGCCCUCCAUGCUGCCUGUGGCCUAGGCAGGCUGCCGGAGAGCUUUCUGUUGAAUCCAGAGAUAAAUACCAUGGUGGUCAAUCUGAAAUAAUGAAGUUUUCCGUUUCUAAAGAAGCUGAUCUUAAUGCAAUAUCAGAUCUUGGGACACCACUCACUCUUGCUGCUCUUAAAGUUUGGUGGAUUGCCAAUAGAGCUGGCUGCUGAGUAUGGCACAUGGGAAGAUGUUGAGAUUCUCUUUCCUUUCACCUCUCCCAUUUCAACUGCGACAAAUUGGCGCAUUGAUGGAAUCGCUAGUCAUGUGAAGAUGGAAAUCAAUCAUCUUGAGAUCACAGAGGUUGAUCAUACUUGACCAAUUCUGCAUAAGUGAAUACAAAAGAAGUGAUUCCAGCAAACAUGAAAGUGUGGAGUAUGAACUUAUGUUCAGCGGAUGGUCUCAAGUUCAACCUAUCAUAGGUUUCAAGUUCAAACUAACAAAAAAGAGGAAAUAUUCACUCCUGGAAAUGGGUGUCACUGAUCUGGGAACCUUCAUGUCAGUACACUAUGCUUCUACCCUAACAAAGAUUUUCUAAUGCAUUUGAACAUGUUCCGAGAUUGUUUGAUGCUUCUGAGCUGUGAAGUUUUAAACACUUCAUAUGUUCUACUGAUUCAGAAAGUUACUACUAUAUGCAAGCGACUCUGAUUUAGGACUAGUUUACGAGAAAUAUGUGCUGCUAAUAGGUCGGAUAAGAAGCAGCAAAUUAAAGCACUUCUUGAAAAUGUUGGAUCUUCAAUGCGUCCUGACCAUUGUGAUUAGUUUGGACACAGUGGUCUUGAGGCUCAAUCUCGAAAUGCUGAUAGAUCAGUUGUCACUCAUUUUUUGCAAGCACAUCCGACAGACUAUGCAACCAAGAAAUUACAGGAGAUGAUCCGUCUGAUGAAGAAGAGAAAUCUCCCUGCAGCUUUCAAAUGUUACUGGAAUUACCAAAAAUUUGAUUCUCUUUCAAAUGAUAACUUGUAUUACAAGAUGGUUAUCCAUGUGCACAAGGAUUCUGCUUUUAGACGUUAUCAGCAAGAGACGAGGAAAAAUCAAGAGUUGUGGCCACUGUACAGAGGUUUCUUCAUUGAUGUAAACCUGUUCAAGGCUGCUGAACUUUCCAAAGACAGUAACGCUGUACCAGAAAAUAUCAAUGGACUUCCGAAUUCAAGAUCGUCAACUAAGGAUGGUCUGGUUGAUGAGGAUUCAAAUUUGAUGGUUAAACUAAAAUUCCUGGCCUAAAAGACACUUGGCUGCUGCUAGCCUUCAUGGAUGAGUAUAUGGAAUUAACCCUUGCACGCCAAUUACAGAUCAAGUUCGGCGUAAUCCUUUUUUCUGUCAGACAAGAACUUCAAAUUAUGGUGCCUUUGGACCGUAGAAGCAACUUAGCUUAGAGCAUAACAUGCAUGUUAGAGCAGAACCUGUUAUUGGCUACUGAUUUUGAGUUUUGUGAAACUCACAUCCUGUCUGUAUGCAAGUGUGGCAGCUGUGGAUGAUGGAUUGAACUGUGUAAUUAUGCUAGACUGAAAUGUUUGGACCGUAGCAGCCACAUAGCUCGGGAUGAUGAAGUGUUCAAAAAGCCAAGCGCGAAGAACUGUAACUGAGUUUUCAGGCAGUCUCCUCUGUGGCUCCAGGCGUUUUAAGGAAUCAUACCAUACUGUUGGAAAGCCAUUGUGUGCUCAAACUCAAACUGUGCACCAUUGUGUGAAUCAUCAUGGAUGAGUUCAUCA